UCUCUCUCCCUCUGUCUCGCUCUCUCGCUGCGUCUAUAAAUACAUUUCACUUCACGAAGCGGUUCAAGGGAAAACCCCCUAACCCAUUCUUUAUCACUUUCUCAAAUGCUUCUUUCAGCUCUUUUUUCUUCCGGCUACUCAGCUCAGCACAGAAGAAUCUGUCAAGCUCAGGAGGGAUAGCGCCGAUAGAUUCGACCGCCGUCGGUCUGGAGCUUUCCGGCGCUAUCCAUCCUGAGUUUCAUGGCUUCUUCUUGCUUUCUCGCCUGGCUUUUGACGGGAGGACAUCGACCCCGACAGUCAGUGUGGGCUUUCUGCAGCAGCAGUGUAAAAAGCGCAGUGGGCAAAAGAUUCUGCGCACUACUGACAUCUGACUUCGAAAGAACAUCCCAACCACACAAUCCUCCUUCAGAGGGACGGCAGAGUCAGACCAAUCCGUGACCACUAUUUCGAGCCCAUCUUCUCGAUCUGAAUCCAGACGAGCCUCUACCAUUGAUGCUAGCGAUGGGGAAGACAACGAUGAACAAAAAUGACACGAAGAUAGAUAUAGAUGGGGAAGGACGGAAGGGAGAAGAAGAAGUACCAGCAUGCAAUAUUUUAUCGAUCGAUAUCAGGUUUAUCCCCAUCCAGUGAAUGAUGGGGACCGGGGAGGGGGGAGCAGGGCAUGUUGUUGACCGGCUUUUGCACGUGAGUGCGUGACAACUACGUGCAGGUCACGUUCUGGGUCCUUCGAUCAUGAUUCAUGUGUUUCGAAGGUGGUCCAUCCCCCUAAAUUCAUGCAACAUGCUGCGCAACUCUGUCGCCUCACCACGACCGUACGGUUGCUUUUCUUGAUAUUUUGUUUGCCCAAAUCCCCCCGAUAAUUCUAUCUCCACGCUUCCCU